UUAGAGUUUGAUCCUGGCUCAGGAUGAACGCUAGCGGCAGGCUUAACACAUGCAAGUCGAGGGGCAGCGGGGAGGAAGCUUGCUUUCUCCGCCGGCGACCGGCGCACGGGUGAGUAACACGUAUGCAACCUGCCCCUGUCAGGGGGACAACCCGCCGAAAGGCGGGCUAAACCCGCGUACAUGCCACCGGGGCAUCCCGGAGGCAGGAAAGGCUUCGGCCGGACAGGGAUGGGCAUGCGGCGCAUUAGGCAGUAGGCGGGGUAACGGCCCACCUAACCGACGAUGCGUAGGGGUUCUGAGAGGAAGGUCCCCCACACUGGUACUGAGACACGGACCAGACUCCUACGGGAGGCAGCAGUGAGGAAUAUUGGUCAAUGGACGCAAGUCUGAACCAGCCAAGUAGCGUGCAGGAUGACGGCCCUCCGGGUUGUAAACUGCUUUUGGUUGGGAAUAAAAGGGGGCUCGUGAGCCCCGUAUUGUAUGUACCAUCAGAAAAAGGACCGGCUAAUUCCGUGCCAGCAGCCGCGGUAAUACGGAAGGUCCGGGCGUUAUCCGGAUUUAUUGGGUUUAAAGGGAGCGUAGGCCGGCUUUUAAGUCAGCUGUGAAAGUCCGCGGCUCAACCGUGGAAUUGCAGUUGAAACUGGAGGCCUUGAGUGCACACAGGGAUGCCGGAAUUCAUGGUGUAGCGGUGAAAUGCUUAGAUAUCAUGAAGAACUCCGAUCGCGAAGGCAAGUGUCCGGGGUGCAACUGACGCUGAGGCUCGAAAGUGCGGGUAUCAAACAGGAUUAGAUACCCUGGUAGUCCGCACCGUAAACGAUGAAUACUCGUGUCCCGCGAUAUAUUGUGGGACACUUAGCGAAAGCGUUAAGUAUUCCACCUGGGGAGUACGCCGGCAACGGUGAAACUCAAAGGAAUUGACGGGGGCCCGCACAAGCGGAGGAACAUGUGGUUUAAUUCGAUGAUACGCGAGGAACCUUACCCGGGCUUGAAAUGUGCAGGACUCAGGCAGAGACGCCUGUUUCUUCGGACCUGCAUGUAGGUGCUGCAUGGUUGUCGCCAGCUCGUGCCGUGAGGUGUCGGCUUAAGUGCCAUAACGAGCGCAACCCUUCUCCCCGUUUGCCAUCAGUUAAUGCUGGGCACUCCGGGGACACUGCCAUCGUAAGAUGUGAGGAAGGUGGGGAUGACGUCAAAUCAGCACGGCCCUUACGUCCGGGGCUACACACGUGUUACAAUGGGGGGUACAGAGGGCCGCUAUCCCGCGAGGGUGCGCCAAUCCUCAAAACCUCUCUCAGUUCGGACUGGAGUCUGCAACCCGACUCCACGAAGCUGGAUUCGCUAGUAAUCGCGCAUCAGCCAUGGCGCGGUGAAUACGUUCCCGGGCCUUGCACACACCGCCCGUCA
rnacentral:rRNA from 1 species